rnacentral:rRNA from 1 species
UGGGGAAUCUUGCACAAUGGGGGCAACCCUGAUGCAGCGACGCCGCGUGAGCGAUGAAGCCCUUCGGGGCGUAAAGCUCUUUCGACCGGAACGAUAAUGACGGUACCGGGAGAAGAAGCUGCGGCUAACUACGUGCCUGCAGCCGCGGUAAUACGUAGGCAGCAAGCGUUGUUCGGAGUUACUGGGCGUACAGAGUGCGUAGGCGGUUUUCUAAGUUCGGUGUGAAAUCUCCCGGCUUAACUGGGAGGGUGCGCCGAAGACUGGGAAGCUGGAGUGUGGGAAAGGCAGGCGGAAUUCCUGGUGUAGCGGUGAAAUGCGUAGAUAUCAGGAGGAACACCGGCGGUGUAGACGGCUUGCUAGACCAUAACUGACGCGGAGGCACGAAAGCGUGGGUAGCAAACA